GGGGGCGAGCGUUGUUCGGAUUUACUGGGCGUAAAGGGCGCGCAGGCGGCUCAUUUUGUCAGGCGUGAAAGCCCCGGGCUUAACCUGGGAACUGCGUUUGAUACGGAUGGGCUAGAGUUCGGGAGAGGAGAGUGGAAUUCCCAGUGUAGAGGUGAAAUUCGUAGAUAUUGGGAAGAACACUGGUGGCGAAGGCGGCUCUCUGGACCGAGACUGACGCUGAGGCGCGAAAGCGUGGGGAGCAAACAGG
rnacentral:rRNA from 1 species